rnacentral:rRNA from 1 species
CAGUAGCCGCGGGAAUACGAAGGGGGCUAGCGUUGUUCGGAUUUACUGGGCGUAAAGGGCGCGUAGGCGGGCUGAUAAGUCGGGGGUGAAAUCCCAAGGCUCAACCUUGGAACUGCCUUUGAUACUGUUGGUCUUGAGUCCGGGAGAGGUGAGUGGAACUGCGAGUGUAGAGGUGAAAUUCGUAGAUAUUCGCAAGAACACCAGUGGCGAAGGCAGCUCGCUGGCCUAACACUGACGCUGAGGCGCGAAAGCGUGGGGAGCAAACAGGAUUAGAUACCCCCGUAGUCCCUGUCUCUUAUAC